rnacentral:rRNA from 1 species
GAUGAACGCUGGCGGCGUGCUUAACACAUGCAGGUCGAACGGAGUUACAUGAAACCUAGUGAUUGUAACUUAGUGGCGGACGGGUGAGUAACGCGUGGGUAACCUGGCGUAUACAGGGGGAUAACACUUAGAAAUAGGUGCUAAUACCGCAUAAGCGCACGAAUUCGCAUGAAUUUGUGUGAAAAACUAAGGUGGUAUACGAUGGACCCGCGUCUGAUUAGCUAGUUGGUGAGGUAACGGCCCACCAAGGCGACGAUCAGUAGCCGGCCUGAGAGGGUGAACGGCCACAUUGGGACUGAGAUACGGCCCAGACUCCUACGGGAGGCAGCAGUGGGGAAUAUUGGGCAAUGGGGGAAACCCUGACCCAGCAACGCCGCGUGAAGGAAGAAGGCUUUCGGGUUGUAAACUUCUUUUACCAGGGACGAAGGACGUGACGGUACCUGGAGAAAAAGCAACGGCUAACUACGUG